rnacentral:rRNA from 1 species
UACGUAGGGGGCUAGCGUUGUCCGGAUUUAUUGGGCGUAAAGAGCGUGUAGGCGGCUUUACAGGUCCGUUGUGAAAACUCGAGGCUCAACCUCGAGACGCCGGUGGAAACCGUAAAGCUAGAGUCCGGAAGAGGAGAGUGGAAUUCCUGGUGUAGCGGUGAAAUGCGCAGAUAUCAGGAAGAACACCCGUGGCGAAGGCGGCUCUCUGGGACGGUACUGACGCUGAGACGCGAAAGCGUGGGGAGCAAACAGG